UGGGGAAUUUUGGACAAUGGGCGCAAGCCUGAUCCAGCCAUUCCGCGUGCAGGAUGAAGGCCCUCGGGUUGUAAACUGCUUUUGUACAGAACGAAAAGCUCUGGGUUAAUACCCUGGGGUCAUGACGGUACUGUAAGAAUAAGCACCGGCUAACUACGUGCCAGCAGCCGCGGUAAUACGUAGGGUGCAAGCGUUAAUCGGAAUUACUGGGCGUAAAGCGUGCGCAGGCGGUUAUGUAAGACAGAGGUGAAAUCCCCGGGCUCAACCUGGGAACUGCCUUUGUGACUGCAUAGCUAGAGUACGGCAGAGGGGGAUGGAAUUCCGCGUGUAGCAGUGAAAUGCGUAGAUAU
rnacentral:rRNA from 1 species